rnacentral:rRNA from 1 species
GACGAACGCUGGCGGCGUGCUUAACACAUGCAAGUCGAACGGAAAGGCCUGCUUUCCCUUGUGGAUUGCGGGUACACGAGUGGCGAACGGGUGAGUAACACGUGCGUGAUCUUCCCCCAACUUGGGUAUAAGCCUGGGAAACUCGGUCUAAUUCCCGAUAGGCCUGCAGGGUGGUGCCUGUGGUUGAAGACGAUUUUUUAGUGGUUGGCGUUGAGCUGUUGGCGUAUCAGCUUGUUGGUGGGGUAAUGGGCUACGAAGGCGGCGACGGGUAGGCGGCCGGGGAGGGUGGGCGGGAGCGUUGGGACUGAGAUACGGCGCAGGCUACUACGCGAGGCAGCAGUGGGGAGUAUUGCACGAUGGGUGGAAGCCUGAGGCAGCGAGGCCGCGUGGGCGAUGACGGGUUUCGGGUGGUAGACUCCUUGCGGCCGCGAGGAAGCCGCCUGGUUGGAAGGGUGGUGACGGUAGUGGUAGAAGAAGCACCGGCUAACUACGUG